CUGUUCUUAAAUUCUGUAUGUUGCUAAGUCUUAACCUAAAAAAGGUUUUAGGAGUGUAUGUUAAUAAUAUCAUAAUUAAUGAUUUAUUUUAUUUUUAUUUUAGUCGUCUAUGGUGGGAAGGCGGUAUCAGAUCAACAAUGAGCAGCUUGAGUUCCUCAUAGAUUGUCAUAUGGGCUAUCAGACAAAUGGCAGCUGUUCUUAAUGUGUCACACUCUGUGGUCAAGUGGCACAUGAGUUAAUUUCAGUUCUUCAGGUCCUACUCACUGUUGUCAGACUCAACUGGAUGAGAGGAUCAAAAGAGCUGAUAGAACAGAAUGAAGAACUUGGUGCUGAGUCUGUGAGGGCACGCUUAAGAGAGGAGGGUGUUGGAGUCCAGCGGGAGAGGGUCAGACAGGGUCUGAUCCAUGUCAACCCCCAGGGAGCUGUGAGGAGAGCCAUGCAGCUGCGGCGGAGGCAGUACAGAGUUGCAGGCCCAAAUUCUUUGUGGCACAUCGAUGGCAACCAUAAGCUGAUCCUGUAAAUGCAUAGACUUAGGCCUCCUGACCUCUACACGUUUUUACAAUCUUAGCAUCGUAAAAACAUUAUGAUUUAUCUUGUUAUAUGGCCAUGAAAGAAUUGUGGCCCUAUUCCCGGGUAUACAGUGCCUUCUGAAAAUAUUCACAGCUUGACUUUUUCCGCAUUUUGUUUUGUUACAACCUGAAUUCAACCACCAUCACCUUUCAAGCCACCACCUCAGCUCCUUCAACCACCAUCUCAGCUCCUUCAACCAGCACCACCACCUCAGCUCCUUCGACCACCACCUCAGCUCCUUCAACCACCACCUCAGGCUCCUUCAACCACCACCUCAGGCUCCUUCAACCACCACCUCAGGCUCCUUCAACCACCACCUCAGGCUCCUUCAACCACCACCUCAGGCUCCUUCAACCACCACCUCAGGCUCCUUCAACCACCACCUCAGGCUCCUUCAACCACCACCUCAGGCUCCUUAAACCACCUCAGGCUCCUUCAACCACCACCACCUCAGGCUCCUUCAACCAUCACCACCUCAGGCUCCUUCAACCACCACCACCUCAGGCUCCUUCAACCAUCACCACCUCAGGCUCCUUCAACCAUCACCACCUCAGGCUCCUUCAACAAUCACCACCUCAGGCUCCUUCAACCACCACCACCUCAGGCUCCUUCAAACAUCACCACCUCAGGCUCCUUCAAACAUCACCACCUCAGGCUCCUUCAACCACCACCACCUCAGCUUCUUCAACCACCACCACCUCAGCUCCUUCCAUAGUUUAGACAGAGCAGUUUAGACAGAACAGUUUAGACAGAGCAACCUUCACAAAAGUUAAGUACAUCUCCAUUCCAGUAUGAUUUUGUUUGAUCAUAUUUGGAGAGAGUAAGGUACUUUUAAGAUAUAUGGCCUAUGGUUGAGGUCAAUUGUAUUUUGCUCUAUGGCACUUUAGCACAACAGUGCAAUCUGCUGACAGAAUAUUUGUCUUCCACUCAGUACAACACGACCCAGGAGAGGCCUACUGCAAUCACUGGAUUGGAGCCUUCAGAGCGUGCCUGCCGUGGGAGGACAACAGAAUAUUCUGAAUGAACAUGAAAACAACUUUACCUUUACCUUUUGGAAUGCCUAAUUGGGACUUUUAGAAAUCGUUUAAAAAACAAUUGUGUGGAAGGUCCUACAGUCUGCUCCUCAAGAUAGGGAUUCUACUGGCUUUUUACUGGACCGGUGGUUCGGCCCCCAUUACAUUUAAAUGUUAUAUAAUUGUGAUUAACAGCAACCUAUUACAGUUAACAACAUAACAUUGUUGACACAUUGUGACAGUUCGAAUGAUGUGGUUGAAGAUGGACUAGUAUGGGACUCUCCAACCCUUUUCCUGGAGCGCUACUGCCCUGCAGGUUAUCGCUCCAAACCUAAUCUAGCGCACCCGAUUCUAAUAAUUGCCUGGUUAAUAAGUUAAUCAGGUUAGUCACAACUGGGGUUGGAUCUCGAAAACCUACAGGAGGGUAUCUCUCCGGGAACAGGCUUGGAGUGAAAAUCCACAGGAGGGUAUCUCUCCGGGAACAGGCUUGGAGUGAAAACCUACAGGAGGGUAUCUCUCCGGGAACAGGCUUGGAGUGAAAACCUACAGGAGGGUAUCUCUCCAAGAACAGGCUUGGAGUGAACCUACAGGAGGGUAUCUCUCCGGGAACAGGCUUGGAGAGCCUUGAACUAGUGGUUCUAGUUCUUAGAGAUCAAAGCAUUUUGAAUUUGAUAAGUCACUACAAACGGUGUGGUUUCCAGAAGUGGAGCCGUCACUUAAUGCAAUGGAUGGGAAACUUUACUUUAUAUACUUCUAAUUAAAGGAGAAUGGUUGAAGUUCAUUUGAUGUCCUAUGUUUAAUAACAAAUGAUCAGAUUUAGAUGAGUUUGCUGCAAUAUGGCAGCAGUACUUCAGUCAACAUCAGUCACUAUCAGCAAAUGAUAAUGGUUAUUAGUGAAGUGUCAGUAAAGUGUUUCUGAAAAACAACUAAACCAUAAAACACCAAGACCAACAA